rnacentral:rRNA from 1 species
GACGAACGCUGGCGGCGUGCUUAACACAUGCAAGUCGAACGGAAAGGCCCUGCUUUUGUGGGGUGCUCGAGUGGCGAACGGGUGAGUAACACGUGAGUAACCUGCCCUUGACUUUGGGAUAACUUCAGGAAACUGGGGCUAAUACCGGAUAGGAGCUCCUGCUGCAUGGUGGGGGUUGGAAAGUUUCGGCGGUUGGGGAUGGACUCGCGGCUUAUCAGCUUGUUGGUGGGGUAGUGGCUUACCAAGGCUUUGACGGGUAGCCGGCCUGAGAGGGUGACCGGCCACAUUGGGACUGAGAUACGGCCCAGACUCCUACGGGAGGCAGCAGUGGGGAAUAUUGCACAAUGGGCGGAAGCCUGAUGCAGCAACGCCGCGUGCGGGAUGACGGCCUUCGGGUUGUAAACUGCUUUCGCCUGUGACGGAGCGUGAGUGACGGUAAUGGGUAAAGAAGCACCGGCUAACUACGUG